rnacentral:rRNA from 1 species
UACGUAGGUGGCAAGCGUUGUCCGGAUUUACUGGGCGUAAAGAGCGCGCAGGCGGUCGUUUAAGUCGAAUGUGAAAGCCCCCGGCUCAACUGGGGAGGGUCAUUCGAUACUGAUCGACUUGAAGGCAGGAGAGGGAAGUGGAAUUCCAGGUGUAGCGGUGAAAGUGCGUAGAUAUCUGGAGGAACACCGGUGGCGAAGGCGGCAUCCUGGACCAACACUGACGCUGAGUGAGCGAAAGCCAGGGGAGCCAAACGGG